UCUGGAUCGGUGAUGUUAUUUUUUAAACUGCGUUAUCUAUCUGAAACUUCCUACAGGAAUUGAAGAUAACAUAACUUGCUGAGAUCCAUC